UGCAAGCUGGAUUUGGAGUUUUGUCUGCUGAGUUGACCUCAUCUCUCUCUCUCUCUCUCUCUCUCUCUCUCUCCAUUCUCAUUUGUCUCUUUUUCUCUCCCAUUAAUUAAUCUCAUGUUUCAAAAAUGUUUUCUUUGUCUCAACUUUAAAUGCCAACUCUGUACUUCUCGGAUGCCUUUUCUUCGUUUCCUGUUCUGUUCAUCUCCCCAUACCUACCCCUUACCUUUGGCUCUCCUCAUCGAUCCCUCACAGUCUCCUCCAACUCAUUCCUCCACAGAAUGUGAUCUUAGCCCUCCCCAUCCUCCCCAAAGCAGAAGCCAUCUCGCACCAUUUUACCGAACUGACCCCUUCCCUUCUCCCAGUCUCUGAAAAAGGAGCUUUUCUCCCCUCGUGGUUCGGCACUAGCCAUUCCUUGAUUCUUUAUCAUUUCUUUGAUGCUUCUUUCCUCAUUGCAGUCCAGUGGCUUUUCUCUGCUUGGAUGCCACUCUAGCUGCAUUUUUUCUCUUUAGUUUUGGUUCGGUGAUUUUGGGGGUUAUUGGCCUUUGGUGUUGAAGCUUCACGCCUUGGGGUUCCGUUUCUUAAAGAAGCCCUUCGCUUGUUGUGUGGAAGAUCAGCAAGAUCAGACCACCAAAAGCGGAAAGAAAAUGUCAUCCGGUAGUUCAUUAAAUGCUGAAUUAUUACAGAAGACACCAGUUUUUGGUCUGAGACUUUGGGUGGUGAUUGGCAUCUGCUUUGGUGUAUUAAUUGUGUUUAUUCUCACUAUUUUAUCGACAUGGGUCACAUUCAAGAGAAAGACAACCAGGGGUUUCGACAACAUGACAAUCUCACAAAUCCCGACUGUGUCGAAAGAGAUUACCGUGGACAGAGUCGGUAACCCGUGUGAUGCUCAAACUCUUCAGGAACUUACAGGGCCUUUCUUCCACUCGCAUGACAAAUUUAGUGACACGGAAUCAGUAAGGACACUUGCCCACUUGACCAUGAGCAAGUCCAGCGAUGCUGAUAACCUGAGCCACUGCAGCUCUGCCUAUCACAAUGACAGGGCUGGGAGUUCAUAUUCUGGUGAUGAAGGUAGUACCGGACCCACUAGGAAAACAUAUCCUGCAUAUGCAUUUGUGGCUGCAUCUCCUUUGAUUGGACUGCCAGAAUCCUCACAAUUGGGUUGGGGUCACUGGUUUACUCUAAGGGACCUUGAGCUCGCUACAAAUCGUUUCUCUAAGGAGAAUGUCAUUGGGGAGGGUGGAUAUGGAAUUGUUUAUCGUGGGCGUUUGAUAAAUGGAUCUGAGGUUGCAGUAAAGAAGCUUCUAAACAAUCUGGGACAGGCAGAGAAAGAAUUUAGAGUGGAAGUGGAAGCCAUUGGUCACGUUCGACACAAAAAUCUAGUGAGGCUUUUGGGAUAUUGUGUAGAAGGAAUUCAUAGGAUGCUUGUAUAUGAGUAUGUCAACAAUGGAAAUCUAGAGCAGUGGCUACAUGGAGCUAUGCGUCAACAUGGCAUCCUUAGUUGGGAGAACCGCAUGAAGGUCAUCCUUGGCACUGCAAAGGCACUUGCUUAUUUGCAUGAAGCAAUUGAACCAAAAGUUGUGCACAGAGACAUUAAAUCAAGUAAUAUCUUGAUCGAUGAUGGAUAUAACGGAAAGAUAUCUGAUUUUGGAUUAGCUAAGCUUUUGGGUUCAGACAAAAGCCACAUUGCAACUAGAGUAAUGGGAACAUUUGGGUAUGUGGCUCCAGAAUAUGCUAACACUGGACUUCUAAAUGAAAAGAGCGAUGUUUAUAGUUUUGGAGUAUUGUUACUAGAGACUGUGACCGGUAGGGAUCCUGUGGAUUAUGGCAGGCCGACAAAUGAGGUGAAUCUUGUCGAGUGGCUAAAAAUGAUGGUUGGAAAUAGAAGGGCAGAGGAAGUAGUGGAUCCAAAUCUUGAGGUCAAGCCGGCUAUGCGUGCCCUUAAACGCACACUUUUAGUUGCACUGAGAUGUGUCGAUCCAGAUUCUGAUAAGAGGCCCAAGAUGGGCCAGGUUGUUCGAAUGCUUGAAGCAGAUGAACUUCCUUACCGUGAGGAUAGGAGAAACCGAAGGAAUCAGGCGGGAAGCAUGGAGAUCGAAGCCCUGAAGGAGAGUAACAGUUCGACUGAUCUGGAAAAUAAAGUAGGACUUGGAGAUAACCGGGCAUCUGACAGGUUCCAAGCAUAACAAGUGUCAUUACGCCUGCAUGAAUUCAGCUGUUAGCAUUUUCUCUUUGCUAACGAUGUUGAAUAGCUCUGUGGCAAACAGUUUGAGAUUGACUGGGGAAUACAAUUUCUGGUUCUUUGGGUACAGUGCUGUUUAUUCUGCCAGCGUGAGUUAGAUGUCUUGCUGUUUACUCCUUUAUAAGAAAGGCAUGAUCACUCCUGCAUUCCUGCUUUUGCAUCAACACCAUCACAAGCAUAACACGUCUUCUGCAGUACCGUGUGUUCACCAAUCACUGUGCCACAGCUUGCCUAAUACCCAAAGAUGCUUGUUUGUGCUUUAUUUCUGGUUUUGAAGAACAUUAAACGAAGCCCGUGAGAUCACAAGCUUAUUUAUAUGAAGCUUGAUUUGGUAUAUGCUAAUCUAAUUUAAAUGGGUCGGAUAAGGAUCUCUACACUGUCCCUCGAGUCCAACUGGGGCUCCAGUUUUGCGAUGUGGUC